UUUUCUUAGGAGAGUGGAUUUGGUGAAUGU
rnacentral:piRNA from 1 species